UAUUCAUUUAUUGUAUGUGAAGACAUUGUUCUGGGUAUGACUUGAAUGGUGUAGACUUGGCCAAGUAUGUCAUGUGAGAUUGGCAUGAGUAAGUCGCAGUUUUGUAGUGUGUAGUCUUUUGUUUAUAUGAGGGACACUUCAACUAAUUGGAACAUUUGGAGAUAGAGAGGGAGAAAAGAAAAAAAGUGUGCAUUAAGUUUGAUUAUAAAAGGAAUAUGACAUAAUAGGCAUGGAAUACAUGAGAUGGAAUUUAAAUUGUUGAUCUGGUAUGCAAUUUCCAUCAAUAGAGCAAAAUAUCAACCAGUGUAUGAGAGUACAUGGGAGUUAUCCAUGCAUUCUACCAAUGUUUAAAUUUUUGAACACUUACAUGAUAAAAUAAAACAAUUAAAUAAAUACACUAAGUAUAUUUAUAUGCAUCCAUCCAUAACACCUACAUGUAUGGAUUCAAAUGUCAUAAAAUAAAAGUAAAGAAACAAUUGAAGAACCAUUUCUAACAAUGUUACAUAUAAGAACAAGUGUGUUUGUUCUUUAGAUCUUUUGAAGUUUGGCAUGAUAUAAGAAUGACGAGUUUUUAAUCAUGGUAACAAAAAUACUGUUUACAAUUGAUUUCAAAACAAUAAUACAGACAAACCCUAAAAAUAACCAUGGCCUUCCAUUCAUGUGGCUCCACAGAUUCAUGUGCUUGAGAAGCUGGGAAUGGGCAGGAAUUGGCAGCCUUUGAGCCUCAAAAGGGGCAUGGCUUCCACAAAGAGUCCAAAAUUAGGUUUUCUAACUCAAUUGGUUUGCCAAGUGUAAGGUCCCCAAUCUCCUUAAAUAUGCAAAGAUUUUAAAAAUGAAAUAAAAAUGAUGCUCACUAUGUAACACCAGAAUUCCAUCCAUAUUGACCCAAACGGAUUUCUGUAUAUAUAUAUAUAUAUAUAUCUAUACACAUUAACGAAUAGAGAAAGGGAGACUCAUGUCGCCAAUUCUGCCAAAGCAGGCCACAAGUGCUGACGUGGAUUUCAGUCUUGUGCUUUUGCAGGCUGUCUGCAUGAACAGGCUUUGUUUGUGAUUUUUUUUUGUUAGUUUGUUUGUCCUUCACAAGUGCAGAUGCAGCCAUCUCUGAAGUGCCCAUGUUUUUAUAGCCAGUAAUAUAUUUUUCCAAAAGGGCAUGUUCUCUGUCCAUUUGUUGCCUUGAUAUUGCAUACACAAAACUAAGCUAUAAAAAUAAAAUAAUAAAAUAGUAGAAUAAAAACAGACAAAAAAUAAAGUAGGGCAUCACAACCUCCCAGGCCAUGUGAGUCAAUUCCAACAACUGACGGCUGAACAUGAGAAAAAAAAAGAAAAAAAAAGAAACCCUAAAAGGUACAAUGACAGAGGAAGUGUGAAGUAUCUUUCAUUAUACCCCCCCCCCUUUCCUCUAAAGAUCUAUGGUCUAAUACUUGUGUUUAUAUAUAUAUAUAUAUAUAUAUAUGAAUAAAUAAAUAUAAUGUAUAAUAUAUUGUGCAUGGGUAUGGACGUGCAACAAAUCAUUGGCUCCAUUCUCCCAUGUAAAUUCCACCAUUAGUUUUGUACACAUGAUUAUAUGCAAAACACACAUGUGACAAAGGCAUGCAUUUGGUUUGUAUUAAUUCUAUUUAUUUCCAUGGUUCUUAUGUUGACCUCCAUUGGCCCUCAUGCACACAAUCAGUAAGGAAAAUGGUAUCCCAUGAAGAAUAUUCCUAAUGGUCCAAUUCUCUUAUGCAAAUUAUGCUUUGCUUUCAAUUUGCUUUCAGGGUUGCCAUGUGGCAUAUGAUGCAAAUAUUUCAUUCUCAUUCCUUGUCUUAUUUGCUUUUUUGGGUGGGCCUUGUUUGAUGGUCAAAUGCUUUGUGAUAGAGUUUUAUUGAAAAUGGGUGUUGAAGUGAACAUGCUCUUUUUGUCUUUCAACGAAAUAUACUUUCUUAUGAGAAAUUGGUGUCCUAACAAAAUUGUAAGUGUGAGUGUCUUAGUAUAAACCCAAAUGUUUGUUUAAUAAGUUUUUUAAAACAGAGUUUUACUUCUGUAAGUUAUGGCUAUAAAAAUAUAAAAACAAACAAACAAACAAAAUUCUGGCAAUACAGAAUAUUACAACUGAUUAUUUUGUAAUUUUAUGAUUAUGGCUUAUUAUUUUGCUCAUUCUUACAAGAAAUAAGAUGUGAAUGUGUGUGUCCAUGCAUGAGUGUGUGUGUAUGAAUAUAUAUAUAUAUAUAUAUAUAUAUUCAUGCACAUACAUGUAAGUUUUGAAAUAUUAUAAUUCAUAUAAGUUAUACUUUAAGUAAAUAUUAUAAUUCAUAUAAGUUAUACUUUAAGUAAAUAUUAUAAUUCAUAUAAGUUAUAGUUUAAGUAAAUUUUAGUUGAUAAUUUCUUCCUAUACCAAUUCUUUGAAUUCAUAAAAAGCUGCAAAUGAUAAGGAUACACCUAGCAUUUUAAGAGAAAAAUUAUAUAUAUAUAUAUAUAUAUAUAUAUACACACACACACAGGAGAAUGUUUAAAUAGACCCAUGCUUUUAGUAAAUAGUCCAUCUCUUGAUGAAGAAUGUGGUAAGCAUGAUGAAUAUGGUUGGUUUAUAUUGGUUGCAGAUCCAAUAGUGGAGAAAUGAAUCUAUUUCUUUCUUUAUUAUUAUUAUUAAUAUUAUUAUCUUCAUGAUGGUUAGAAUGGAUGGGUCAGUUUAGUAGCAACUUAGGUCUAUUUUAACAUUUUCCUAUAUAUGAAUAUAUUUAUGUAUAUAUAUACAAAUACAUGUAUACACACAUCCACAAUUCUCAAAGAAGUGUUGUUUCAAAGUCAAGAAACACUACCUUCCAAUUUGAGAUUUGGAUUUGAUGAUUUUGAAUGUACUUUGAAAUGGUAUUAACCAACUAAAACAGAGUUGGUUAUAUGUACAUUCUCCCAUGCAAAUGUAUUUUUUUAAUAACUUUUCAAUAUACUUCCAUUCUUCUUCUUAUUAGUAUUACUACUACUACUAUUACCUACUCCAGAGAAUAAAUCAUACAUUAUUUUUAUUUACAAACAUUCACGUGGUAUUGCACAGAAAAACAAAGAAUGCCAUGCUGGCACACAAGCAAUUGUGGGACUUAUUGCAAAAAGCUUUCGAAUUGCUGAUUCAUGGGUCUCACAUCAACUGAAUCUUUGCCUUUUUUGGACUCUAAGCAUGCAACACAACUCCAGCAUUUGGUUGAAGAUCUUUGUGAAAAGAAUUCAAUUGUGAUGAAGAAGUAAAAAUAUGUCUACUUCUUAACUUUUUUGCUAACUAAUAUUAAGAAAAAAAUUACUUAACUCUUGAGGGACCCACAUGUUGUCAUCAAUAAUUUGCUCUUUGGCCACCACAUGUGUUGGAUGUGAGUGCUCAUUUUUGCAACAACAACAACAUCAACAACAUCACAAUGCAGAAAGACAGACAGAAAUAGAGCAAUAGUUGUGUGUCACAACUCUAAUCAGCAUUUGCCUUUUUUUUUUUUUUUUUUUUUUUCAAAAUGAUUGUUUUUAUGAUUGAAUCUGUAAAUAUAAUUAGAUGCAACGUUGGAAACAAUUGAUUCUUUUUACGUUAGCAUCUUUUUGCCAUUUGAUCAUGGACCAAUCAUGCUCAUUGUACCUAAACUCAAUUGUUUUCUUAUUCUAUCACAUCAAUUUAAUAUUUGUGAUUUUCAUGUUUAAUAUAUACCAGUAUAUACUGUUUUAUCAAAUUGAAAGCAUUGUGUAAGUGUUUUUAUUUUUAUUUUUUUAUCAAGCUAAUCAAAGUACUUGAAUCAUCCAAAAGAACUUUUAAAUUCUUUACAAAUUUUGUAAAUGCAGAUAUUGAAAAAUUGAUUCAAAGAAAGAUCGCUGUCUAAUGUAACUGGGUUUAUUACAAGAAUAUAAUAUGAACAAUGAGCAGACUAAUGAUGCUUUAAUUAAAUGC
rnacentral:lncRNA from 1 species